UGGGAAGUCAAGGGUGCAGUGAGCCAAGA
rnacentral:piRNA from 1 species